rnacentral:lncRNA from 1 species
ACCCAUCCUGGUGGGACCUCUCAACGGGUCCACAAUGGGUUACUUCCUUAUGUCCCCAUUAGGGAAGGACAUAUCCAUUCACCCAAUGGCCCAACACAUAUCUUUGGGCUACCUCUUGCUUCCUUCUUUCUCACCUGGACAGCCAUGUGGGGUUCCUCCCUGGUCCGCAUGUCUCCAGUCCUGCCCACUCCAGUCCAUUCCCGACACUCCUCAGAGAGGAGACCUGAUGGCAUCUCCCUGCCUGGGUCUACUGCUUGAAAACUAAAGGGAAGGUUGCAGCCCAGUCCUUGUGGAGAGGGGCUCACACGGUUCUUUAUCCAAUAUAGCUCUGUUUUCUGAGUAUAAAUGUAAUAAAUAAGGAACACAGGGAAGUACAGAAAAAUAGAAAGAGGAGGACUUCUCAUUUGGGCCCUGUGCAUUCAGAUAUGGCCACAUGACUUACUUUGGUGGAGGAGCUGUCAGUGGAGGUGAUGUGUGUCACUUCAGGCAGAAGCUUCCAGAACCAGUGCCUGAUUUUCCAUGCUCUUUUUUCCCCACUCUAAGAGUAUGUACGUGUGUAAUGUAGGCAAGACCUCUCGCUGGCAAAACCACCUGGAUGGAGGGUCCUCAGGCCACAUCCCCUGAUUAGCCUCCUGCCUCGGCCAGUUGGCUCUGAACAAAACAUAAUCUCGUUCCCGUGCAGACGCCAAUCCUGACCCAGCACAAGAGAAUGUGGAUGGCUCCAUUCAUGCCACUUCUCCUUCUGGCACAAUAACUCAUUCAUUGAGAAAAGUUCUGUUCUGUUACCGAGGAUCUUCCCAGCUGUCGAGGACACUGAGGUGGGCAAGACAGGCAAGGUCAGGUCCCACAUUAUGGAACUUACCUUCUAGGGGGACACGGACACACAGCUUGCUUUGGCUAUUGGUAGGCCACUCAACUGUAGGACAGCGAGAAAGAAGGGGAGAGAGAGACUGGUGACUUUGACGAGGCACUUGGAAAAUACUCCGGACAUAGAGCUGAUGAGAUUUGGAAACGAACUGCAUGCCGGAGUAUUUUAUAGAUAUGGCCUAGCAAGACGUCAAAGGUGGGAGCCUUUCCACUCUGCGCUCCUUGGAGAAAGCCAUUUGGAAGGUGACUCCAACCAUAGAGACAGCUGUGCUUUAGAGGCUGGUA